GGCUGAACGUUUCUUCUGAUCCAUAGACUCAAGCUCAUUGCUCAUGUGGUUCCCAUAACUUGGAUUCAGUUGUGGUUGGCUUGAAGCAGGCUGGACAGAUCUGACCUGGGGUGCAGUAUUAUACCCACCAUGGGCCUGAGAAAUUGCCUGGACAUGAUUUUGCAUCCCAGGUCUUCCUAUAUAUGUUUGAGAUUGUUGAAGCUGUGGGGGAGGUGGUAAGGAAACAUUUUGCUGUGGUUGGAUAUACGUGUGCGUAUUCUGAGGAACCACACUAGGAAGACCUUGAGGGCGAAACUGAGACUGCAAAGGCUGCUGGUGAGUAAGAUGACCCUGUUGGUGUGACUGACUCUGCAAUGGACCAGGAAAUGCCUGCUGUUGACUGUAUUGCUGAGACAUUGGUUGUUGAUUAGGCUGAACAGGAUGUUGCUGAAUUAAAUGUCCUGCUUGUGGAGCAGGAUAAAGUUGAGACUGUGCAGGAGUUUGACCUUGAGAAGGUACCAAGCCCCAUUGCUGAUUGGCGCGCAAAGGAGGUUGUUGAGGAACCUGACUAUGAGUUUGAACUGGAGGAAUAGGCCCACUAGUAAGAUGCGGACGUAUUGGAGUUUGCUGUGUAAACCCUAUAGGCAUUUGCUGCAUGGGCUGGGGUUGUGGAUAGGAAUUGUACCCUGAAACUGCAUUGGCUGUUGAAUGGAGGGUCUGAGUCUGUCCAUGAGCAGAUUGGCCAGCCUGAGGUGGGCGGAAUUGGCCAUGAGAUUGUUGAUGAUGUUGAACAUUUAUCUGCGGUUGAAGUUGUGAAUGAGGUUGAUGCACAAACGGCUGCGGUUGGGCUUGAGAAGACUGGGGAGGGUGAACCUGGGCAGGAUGCUGCUGAUACUGUGGCACCUGCACAUUGUGUUGUGAAUGAGGUUGCAUCGGAUAGGGCUGAGGAUAUGGCGGAGGCUGAGUAGGUGGCUGAGCAUGAGAAGCCGGAAAUAUUUGUGAUGGAAUUUGGGUAUGAGACUGCCCAGUAGGUGGAAGCUGCUGCUGUGGGUUGACUUGAACCUGGUUUUGAUGUUGCUGAGCCACAGCUUGAACCUGUGGUUGAGUUGGCCCUUUAGGUAGAGCUUGCAUUUGAGGUUGAAUUUGAGGUUGAGGUAGAGGAUUCAAUGGUUGCGGCUGGGGCUGGGAUUGAGGCUGUGCUGGGAUUGGGGUCUGGGGUUGUGCUGGUGGCUGCAUGUAAAUUGGAGGUUGCUGCUGAUAUUGUUGGACGGGUUGUUGCUGAUAGGGA
rnacentral:lncRNA from 1 species